rnacentral:rRNA from 1 species
UCCUAGAGGGUGAGAAUCCCGUACUUACCCGGGUGUCCUUUGCCUCGUGAAGCCCCUUCGAAGAGUCGAGUUGUUUGGGAAUGCAGCUCCAAGCGGGAGGUAAAUUCCUUCUAAAGCUAAAUACCGGCCAGAGACCGAUAGCGCACAAGUAGAGUGAUCGAAAGAUGAAAAGCACUUUGGAAAGAGAGUUAAAAAGCACGUGAAAUUGUUGAAAGGGAAGCUCUUGCCGCCAGACUUGCCGCGGUGGUUCAGCCCCCUCCCCCCGGGGAGGCGGUGUACUCCCCCGCCGGCAGGCCAGCGUUGGUUCGGGCGGCCGGAUAAAGGCCCCAGGAAUGUGGCAUCCUUCGGGGUGUGUUAUAGCCCGGGGCGUAAUGCGGUCAGCCUGGUCCAAGGGAUGCGUUCGCGAGGACGCUGGCGUAAUGGCCGCAAGCGACCCGUCUUGAAACACGGACCAAGGAGUCUAACAUCUGUGCGAGUGUUUGGGUGUCAAACCCAUGCGCGUAAUGAAAGUGAACGGAGGUGGGAACCCCCCGGAGGGGCGCACCAUCGACCGAUCCUGAUGUCUUCGGAUGGAUUUGAGUAAGAGCACGGCUGUUGGGACCCGAAAGAUGGUGAACUAUUCCCGGAUAGGGUGAAGCCAGAGGAAACUCUGGUGGAGGCUCGCAGCGGUUCUGACGUGCAAAUCGAUCGUCAAAUCUAGGAAUAGGGGCGAAAGACUAAUCGAACC